rnacentral:rRNA from 1 species
GCCCCCCUCAAGAUAAGAUAUCCCAUCUUCGGAGUAAGACCCCUUGAAGACUACAAGGUUGAUAGGUUAGGAGUGUAAGUGUGGUAACACAUUCAGCUGACUAAUACUAAUAGGUCGAGGGCUUAUCCUU